rnacentral:rRNA from 1 species
GAUGAACGCUGGCGGCAUGCCUAAUACAUGCAAGUCGAACGAGAGGAAGGAAAGCUUGCUUUUCUGAAUCUAGUGGCGAACGGGUGAGUAACACGUAGGUAACCUGCCCAUGUGCCCGGGAUAACUUCUGGAAACGGAUGCUAAAACCGGAUAGGUAGCAGACAAGCAUUUGACUGCUAUUAAAGUGGCUAAGGCCAUGAACAUGGAUGGACCUGCGGUGCAUUAGCUAGUUGGUGAGGUAACGGCCCACCAAGGCGACGAUGCAUAGCCGGCCUGAGAGGGCGGACGGCCACAUUGGGACUGAGACACGGCCCAAACUCCUACGGGAGGCAGCAGUAGGGAAUUUUCGUCAAUGGGGGGAACCUUGAACGAGCAAUGCCGCGUGAGUGAAGAAGGUCUUCGGAUCGUAAAGCUCUGUUGUAAGAGAAAAACGACAUUCAUAGGGAAUGAUGAGUGAGUGAUG